GUCCAUUUGACGCUCCGCAGGACGCCACGUCCAGCGAGGAGAAAGACGCUGGGAAUUUCUCGCUCCGCUGAUGCGAGGCGUGGCCAGAGGACAGCAGGUUGUCGUGGCGUCGAGCAGAGGACCCGAGGAAGCUGUGGGGGGGGGAUAUUUUUUUAAUGUCCCCAUAAACCACCCGGAGCCACAGAGUGUGUUUACUAUGCAGGCUCGUGGGUGGGGACCAUCACUGUCAUAUUUCUAUCUGGAAAAGAGCUUCAAAAGUCGAGAUCUUUAGUGCGAGACGAUAACUUGGUGGUCCCACGCCCAGAAGCUUUACGAGCGCCGCCCGCGAGCAGAGAUGAAGAUCAUGAGAAGACACAGGUGUACUCCUUUAUCUGAAGAGGACGAGUUCAUAAUCAGGGGAGAGAGGUCAUUUGACCUGUCCAGGGGGGUCAUUUCAGUGACCCCUAGUGGAGGAUGAAGAAACCGGACCUGUGAGAAGGUUGAUCAAACCGCUUAAAUCCUGGAAACCUACAACACGGGAACCUGGAAACCCCCAACAUGGUGACCUGUCGACCCCUACCAUGCCAACCUGGAAACCCCCCAACAUGGCAACCAGGAACCCCCCCAACAUCACAACCUGGAAAGCCAGAACAUGGCAUACUGGAAAUCCCCAACAUGGCAACCAGGAAACUCCCCAACAUGGCACCCUGGAAACCCCCCAACAUGGCACCCUGGAAUCCCCCAAACAUGGUAGUGUGGAAACCUCUAACAUGUCAACCUAGAAACUUAACCUGUCAAACUGGAACCCCAAAAGAUUGUAACUUGGCCACUCACAACAGGGCAACCUG
ensembl:lncRNA